GGAUCCAGACUUUGAUCAUGGCUCAUGAUGAACGCUAGCGGCAGGCUUAACACAUGCAAGUCGAGGGGCAGCGUGGAGUAGCAAUACUCUGACGGCGACCGGCGGAAGGGUGCGUAACACGUGAGCGACUUGCCCGAUACAGGGAGAUAACCGGUGGAAACGCCGACUAAUAUCCCAUACGACUUGAGGCUGCAUGGCCUUGAGUUGAAAGGUUCGCCGGUAUCGGAUAGGCUCGCGGGACAUUAGCUUGAUGGCGGGGCAACGGCCCACCAUGGCGACGAUGUCUAGGGGUUCUGAGAGGAAGACCCCCCACACUGGGACUGAGACACGGCCCAGACUCCUACGGGAGGCAGCAGUGAGGAAUAUUGGUCAAUGGGCGGAAGCCUGAACCAGCCAUGCCGCGUGAAGGACUAAGGCCCUAUGGGUCGUAAACCUCUUUAGACGCAGAGCAAUAAGGGCCUCGUGAGGUCCGAUGAGAGUAUGCGUAGAAUAAGCAUCGGCUAACUCCGUGCCAGCAGCCGCGGUAAUACGGGGGAUGCGAGCGUUAUCCGGAUUUAUUGGGUUUAAAGGGUGCGUAGGCGGCGAAUUAAGUCAGCGGUGAAAGACCGGGGCUCAACCCUGGAAGUGCCGUUGAUACUGAUUGGCUAGAAUACCCUUGCCGUGGGAGGAAUGAGUGGUGUAGCGGUGAAAUGCAUAGAUAUCACUCAGAACACCGAUUGCGAAGGCAUCUCACGAAGGGGCGAUUGACGCUGAGGCACGAAAGCGUGGGGAUCGAACAGGAUUAGAUACCCUGGUAGUCCACGCAGUAAACGAUGAUGGCUAACUGUCGGGCCUGAGGGUUCGGCGGCCAAGCGAAAGCGAUAAGCCAUCCACCUGGGGAGUACGACCGCAAGGUUGCAACUCAAAGGAAUUGACGG
rnacentral:rRNA from 1 species